rnacentral:lncRNA from 1 species
GAGGCUGACUUGGGAGGAUUGCUUGAGCCCAGGAGUUCCAAACUGAAGUGAGCCAUGAUUGUGUCACUGCACUCCAGCUUGGGAAACAGAGGGAGACCAAGACUCAAAAAAAAAAACUGGCCUCAGAAGGAAUUUUAUGGAACCUUGUAUUCUGUUGAAUACCAGAAUUAUAUCAGCAAUCCCAAAGUCACCAAAUGGGCAUCAUCAUGACAGCAGACUUCAUCAUGAAUUCAUGGCAUCACACAGUCCCCUGAUGCUAUAACAUCAUGGAUUUCUUUUGUCCAGUGAGAGGCCCAAAAGCUGCAGCAUAGACAAUAUCAUAGUGUAGAAGGUUCACUAGACCGUGAUCAUGGGCUACAUUCUCCGUACCAGCUUCAUAGCUCCAGUGAGAAAAUAAAUUCCUGCAUCCAGGAGAUGUGGAGUAAGAGAUACAGCUGCCCUUGACCAUAUUUCUUACUUCCGAGAAGAUCGUAGCAGUAAUUCAGUCUUCAGGGAACACCAAGGCCUGUUUGAUUUUCCAAGUAUCAACAAGUGGAGUUGACAAGAGUGACAAGUGGUCAGAGCAAAGCAUUUCAUGAUGACUGUAACGUGCCUGUGUCAGCAGCGACUGCUUACAGUGAGAUUCACAUGACCAUCGUUUAUGACAUAGGAAGAAUAAAAGGAGAGAGAGAGAGAAAGAUAGGUAGUUGAUCAAAAUGAAGAAUUGGAUUUGGAAAGCAACUUCGAAUAGUCUCUGCUUAUAUUUCUGAGAUUAAGGCAAACAGUCUCAAGAAUCUCAUCCAGGAUACCUCAUCACAGGCUGGAGUGCAGUGUCAUGAGCUUGGCUCACUACAGCCUCCAUCUUCUGUGCUUAAGGAUCCUUCCCUCUCAACCUCCAAGGUAGCUGAGACUACAGGCAACAUUCGAAACCCAGGUGCCACUCCUUCAGGAAGGUACCAUCAAGCUCCAAGGACUCAUCCUCUUUCUCCUUCCCCACUACCUAGUCAUUAGAGCGUCAGCAUCCACUUCCUGAAAGGAAGAUGCCUGUUUUUCACAUAUCCCAGAAAGCCUCAUUUUAGGACAGCAUUUAGCAGAGUGUAUUCAGGAUCCCACUAACCUUUUCGGAAGACAUGACUUCCAGAUGAUAUAAGGCAAGAAUAAGAAAUUUCAGUGACAGGGAACAGAAAUCAUAUUUCUGCAUUCAGGAUCAUGUUUUCUUGGCUCCAUCAGGAACUGUGCAGGACUGUGCACUCUGUUGAUACUCACAUGGUGGAAUUAUAUUGCCCUUGGCCAACCCUAAAGCCAUCAAGAUAGCAGGUUUGGAAUAAUUCACUGUCGAAGUCUUCUUGAGCUGAGCAGUCAUGUGAGCUUGGAAGAUGAUCCCUCUCCAGCUGAUCCUUCAGCUCAGGCCAUCAUCUACAUCUGGAUUCCUGACCCGGAGAAACUAUGAGUAAUGUGUGCUGCUUUUGAGCCACUAAGCUACAUGGUAAUAGGCUAUGCUUCAAUAAACAAUAAUACACUUGAUGAUAA